UAUAUCCAGCCGGGGUGUUGGUGUGGCAGUGACGGUGCCACUUAACAACUCUGGCCUGGCCAAGUGGGGCAUCCACCUAGUGUGGUUCACGCUCGCUUCCCUCGCUACUAUCAUCAUGCUCUUCUGGACGGACUUCUUCACCGUGUUAGGCAAGGCUGGGUCACCCCACAAGUUUGUCAAACUCACGUCAGCUGGACUUGGGUGUCACUUCCACUGGGGAGCAGAGUGUGGCCCACGCUCUACGGCUGGCUUAUCGGUUUCUACAUAACAUUUCUCGUCCUUGUGGGCCGAGUGAUGGCCGCCUCACACUCUAUGAUCUUCACGUUAGCAACCACUUCUGUCGCCUUACCUGUCCAGGCUCUGUGGUGGGCCUUGUUCUGUACUGGCGUCCCUCGGAAUGUUAUGGCGGCCACAGGUCACGGGAGAGCUUAUCUUCAGCCUACUGGGACUGCCCAUCAUGAUAGCCUGCUUGGGAUUCUGGAGUCAUGUGGACAGAAGAGAGAAACUUCGAACGAACAACUUUCUUCUUACUUAACAUAAUGAAGUGUGUGUGUGUGGGAUGUUUGAUUUGUCUUGUGUGGCAAUAGGGAGGUGUGAGGGUGUUGUACGGUGGCUCGAAUAACUACUGUAUCUGUCGAAGGAGAUUAAGAAUCAUCUGAAGAUUAACCACCCUACUCCUAACCUAACUAGUCUAUCCUAACCUAAUGUUAACUAAACCUAACACUAACCUAACCUCCCUAACUCUGGUUCAUCUUCAAGUGGCUCAGUAUAAUACAGCAUUUUCACACAUUAGUGGUGGCAACUUUAAUGAGGAAGCAAAAUUAAGUAGGAUGAGUUUUGUAAUUGAAUUUGAUACAGUUUAUUUAGUGUUAAAAAAUUGUGGUUGAGAAUAUUGAGUGAAGUUCUCUUGUCUUAUGAGAAUUAAUAUGUAAAUAUUUUAUAUUAUCUGCAAUAUGUAGUUAUAUAUAUAUGUCUAAUGGUGUAUAUAACACAGUAAUGAUCGACUCCACCGCCUAACUCUUGUUCCUGGCCGGGUCUUUUGAGAACGACAAGUUGGUUGGGGUGGAGAGGGGGAAUGGUGGUGUUGUGGGCGGUGCUAUAUGACACAAGCUCCUCACCUCAGAGGGAGGUUAUUGAAGAAAGCAGGACAAUUAAUAAAAGAAGGAAGGGGAGUAAGUUUUGUCAAUACAAUAUCUUAAGUUUUUAUGGUUGAAAGAGCAAUAGAUGGGGAUCCAUAUUAUUAUAUUGUGAUCCAUUCAUUUAUUUUUUCAGGUUGUUGUUCAGGUUUUAAACAACAGUAAUUAGAUAUUUAUAAUAACGUUGAUAUGAGGAGAAAUAUUGAAAAUACGUGGGUGGAAAUACCGUUUAUUUAUUUUUAAUUUUUACCAACGCGGGUCCUGUAGAAUCUCAACCCCCUGUCCAAUGUCCUCCCUUUACUGUAACCUCCCUAGGUCUUCCUGUUGGCGAGGACACGUGGUCGUAGAUAAUGGAUUGGUUCCUCCUAAACCGCUCCCACUCGGCCCUGUGU